GAUGAACGCUGGCGGCGUGCCUAAUACAUGCAAGUCGAGCGAACAGACGAGGAGCUUGCUUCUCUGACGUUAGCGGCGGACGGGUGAGUAACACGUGGAUAACCUACCUAUAAGACUGGGAUAACUUCGGGAAACCGGAGCUAAUACCGGAUAAUAUUUUGAACCGCAUGGUUCAAUAGUGAAAGACGGUUUUGCUGUCACUUAUAGAUGGAUCCGCGCUGCAUUAGCUAGUUGGUAAGGUAACGGCUUACCAAGGCAACGAUGCAUAGCCGACCUGAGAGGGUGAUCGGCCACACUGGAACUGAGACACGGUCCAGACUCCUACGGGAGGCAGCAGUAGGGAAUCUUCCGCAAUGGGCGAAAGCCUGACGGAGCAACGCCGCGUGAGUGAUGAAGGUCUUCGGAUCGUAAAACUCUGUUAUUAGGGAAGAACAUAUGUGUAAGUAACUGUGCACGUCUUGACGGUACCUAAUCAGAAAGCCACGGCUAACUACGUG
rnacentral:rRNA from 1 species